AGAAAGAGGCCACUGAAAUUGCACAUCUAAUGUGCCACGAUUUGGCCACAUCAAGAAAGUUUUAUAAAGCUGACCCGCCCCCUGUGGCCACCGCUCGGGUGCGUGAUGUAAUGAUGCGAGCCAUCAUCGGGCCCGGUGAAGAAGAGGAGGAUGCGAAUGUGGAAGAGGAGGAGGUGAUGAGCCUGCAUGACACCACUGAGGAAGAGGAGGAGGCGAUGAGCCUGCAUGACACCACUGAGGAAGAGGAGGAGGAAAUGAGCCUGCACGACACCCCUGAGUCAGAGGAGGAAAUCAGCCUGCACAACACCCCUGAGUCAGAGGAGGAGGCCAGUGAGGAUGAGGAGGAACUGAGCUCUAGACGGAAGAGGAAGUCUAGUAAGAGUUUGCAAAGUGAGUCAGAGGUCAGUGAGGAUCAGGAGGUGGAGAGAGGAGCAGAGAAGGUGGAGAGAAGGAAGAAGAAAUUGCAGAGGGUCCUCUUCCCUGUUUCCCGAAGACACAGUAAGAGACGACGACGAGCGGAUGACGAUGGUGACGAGGGUCCCUCCUCAGCUGGGCCAUCCAGCCACCAUCCAGUGGGUUGUCGAGUGAAAAGGCUAAAGGCUGGAGAACUCCCAGAAAAUCUCCCAAAAAAAGAGCCACUCCAUCCAAAUUGCCAAGCGCCAGAUCCUCCGAUCAUUCCCUGGUCACCGCCCCUCAAGCAUCCCCAGUAGAACCCCAUGUCUCCUCAAGUGUUUUGUCCACUUCCCCCAAUGUCACCCCACCUCAAGGGUUGCAGUUCGCAGAACAUGACUCCCCCGUACCUCAUGACUCCCCCGUACCGCAUGUCUCCCCUCCCCCCAACGUCACCACCCAGUCCCAGAAAUGAUAGCCUAUUUGGGAUGCUGAUCAAGAAUAUGUAACCAGAAAUGGUUUUUUCCUCUCCUAUGUGAGUGAAACAACCAAAGAAAUGUUGGGUUAGGACAUGAGACUUGAUUGCAGGCAUGACCGCCAUUGCUAAGACAUUGCUGGUUGGAAUUUUUGAUUAGGAGUAUAACCCUACUGUUUCUCAACGUUAACAUGGUCAAGGCAUAA